rnacentral:tRNA from 1 species
CUCCCUGUGGCUCAGUUGGUAAAGCAUGGUGUUUGCAACGCCAGGGUUGUGGGUUUGAUUCCCACGGGGGGC